rnacentral:piRNA from 1 species
UUCUCUAAACACUCGAGGAUUGCUGC